AAAAAAAGACACCCUGGUUUCCGUGUCCAACGUUUGACCGUCCGUCUUAUUUGAAAAAAUUAUGAAAAAAUUAAAAAGAUAAGUCACGCAUAAAGUAUUAAUCAUGUUUUAUCAUCUAACAACAAUGAAAAUACUAAUUAUAAAAAAAUUUCAUAUAAGACGGACAGUCAAACGUUGGCACGGGAGCCCACGGUUUGCCUUUUU
rfam:Oryza sativa Japonica Group DNA, chromosome 1, cultivar: Nipponbare, complete sequence.